rnacentral:sRNA from 1 species
AUAUUUUAAUUUAAGUUAUAUCAGUAGAAAAGCUUAAAAAUUCCCUAGUUUUACUUUUAAGGAUACCUCUUGGCUUGUUUAUGGAUCUUGUAAAUGGGCAAAUUCAAUAACAACUUUAUUAGGCGCUAGACUGUCUGGUUAUCAAGUGGUUAUCACAAAACUUUCGGACCGGACCGGUGGAUAUGAUCAGUCGCACUGGGUGCUCAACGAACGUUUAAGUGUUUCACUGCGCGACGAGGGGCUUUUAUACUUUCUGAAGGGCCACUCAGCUGUGCGGCUUAUCAGGGCGAAAUUUAUAAUAAUAAUAAUAAUAAUUUAUAACAAAACAAAACGGCAAACACAAACAUGAG